GGCAACCCCACUCUCUCAAACGUGAGCCACCCAAAGAGUUCUUCACCGUAAUCAGCCAAUCGCCUCCGUGUAGCUCCUCAUAAAACCGCUUCCAGCUCCGUUGCUCGCUCCGCUGCCGACCUCGGACCUCCCGCCAUCGGUUUCACAGAUCACUUGCUUUGCGGGUGCUAUGCACAAUGUAUAAAUGGGUAGAAGGCUCAGUGGGUGUCCAAGUUCCAACAGAGUGUACAUGUUCAAACAUGUUUGGGUACCGGAUUCCUCCAGCUUUUGUAAAUGCCAGAUUGUUUUUGGGUUGAUGUCCACAAUGACUACCGGAGGAACAGAAGAAGGCAAUAUUUUGCAAGGCCUGUGACAGCCAUGGCGGCAGCGGUGGUGGUUAACCAUAUUCGGGCGCCAAUUCAGCCACCGAGAGAAGUUAAUGAGCGCGGUGCAACAAAGAAGUACUGUUUGUGUUCACCCACGCAUCACCCGGGUUCAUUCAAGUGUAGAUAUCAUCGGUCCGAGUAUAUAUGGGUAGGACGACAACGACUCAAGUCAGGGACGAAAUCAUAAAUUUUUAUUGAUGGGUCAAAGCAUAAAUGAGAAAUGUAUUAAGAUAGAAUUUCAAAGCA